rnacentral:sRNA from 1 species
AAAAGAAGAAGAUAAAU